rnacentral:piRNA from 1 species
UGAGACAGAUCUGUAUAGCAGGGCCAC